ACAAAAACCCUAAUUCUUCUUUUUUCUUUAAUACAUGUUUCUUCUCGAAAUCUCUUACCGAGAGAAUCGUCGAUCUCGAGACCAUCAAGCCGAUCGAUGCGAAUCCGACAAAGUCACAGACAAAUCCCGUCGGAACUGUAACUCGAAAGAUGUCUCGUGUUUGAUCAAUCAGAACGAUUCCAAGUCGGGUCUCUCUAAUCUCACAAGAGCGAAAGAUCUCGCCACUGUUCAAGAGCAUAUGCGAUUAACACUGGCAUUGGCGACGGUAGCUACUGAGAACGAGGACUUUGUAGCAUAAUCGAAUUUCUAUGGAGUGGAGUCGCUUGAGGAUGGAUGAAGAAGAAGAUCAAAACUGAGUUUCGUGACAUACGACAAAGAGAAGGUGCAGUGAAGGCUAACUAAUGGGCCUUGGCAAUUAGGCUUUUCGUACUCCUCACUAGUACCCAAAUCCAAACCAG